GCCAGCCCUGCGCCCACUCCGCCUCGUUCUCCUCCCUUGACAGCACCGCACCUCCUCCCUCGUUCCUGCUCGUCCGGAUAGCCGCCAGCCGCCGCAUCCAUUCUCCCACUUCCUCCUCCUUCCUCCUUCCCACUAGCGCCGACGAGGGGGCCUCUCGCAUGGAUGGUCGGGGCUUCAAACCAGGGGGCCAAGAAAGCCGGCCGGCGGCGGCCGGGGCGGGCGCGGAGAGGGCCGAUGCGGCGGCCGCGGGCGGGGCGGCGGCGGCCAAGGCCAGGGAGGACGAGCAGCAGCAGCAGCAGCGUCUCCAUGGACGCGGCGGCGUGACGGCUUCCAGGCACGGAUCCCCUCCUCCACCUCCAUCCUCCACCUCUCCGGUCGCCCGGUUGCAACGCUCCUUCCUACCUUCCAUGGACGAGCUUGACGGAGACGCCGUCCAGCCUGACCACGGCUACGACUACCCCACGCACAAGGUCCCUUCCUGCCCCCCACCUUCUUCCAUGGUUCAAGACGCUACAUACACUGCUGCUGCUGUUUGUCAAAUUCAUUCCACUGAAGCCAUCUGCUUCGUCCACCAACCCGCCCAGAAAGGUAGUUAUUGUGAAUUGAUGUUCGCACUGAGGCCGGAGGCGAGAGGCGAGGGCACGAAGGUCAGCGGUAAGUGCUCAGGAGAUAAGAGGAAGGCGGCGGUGGCUGCGGUUUACACGAGAGCGAGGUGACGUGCCCAGAAAGGUAGUUACAGUGAAUUGAUGUUCAUAUGAACUUCAAUGUUGUGACGUUUUUAUUAAAUCUGAGUUGCAAUCCUCAAUUUUUUUAGGUUCGAGUAGCAAUGCUCCUACUCUACUAGCUAUGACAUUUUCCAUGUUUUUUCUUCUAAUAUCGUAUAGCCUCCAUGCUUAUGGGUUCAACUUGACAAGCUUUUUUCAUCUUACAUCACGUUUUAAGCUCUGUUGAUUGUUGAUUUCUGCCAUGUUUAUCGAGGGAGAGGACGCCAAGUACUAGGAGAAGGAUCAGUUUAGCAAGUAUAGGCUGUAAUUCUCUUAUGAUUAUGGAUUGCUGAGAAGUGCAACCUUUUGAUCUUCGAGAACCGCAAGUUUGCUGACAUUGAAAACACAUUCAUUAUGCAAGACAAAUGAUCUGUGAAAGAAGAGAUGAAGAACAAUUUUAGCUGAAGAGUUGAAGAAGACCAAGGAGGGGGUUUAUAAGGGAAUCAAGAGCUUUUUUUAACAGCAUGUAUAAAAGGUUCAGCAAAGUGGGACUCAAGUCUGCAACCACAAUAGAAGGUGCUUUGGAUGGUGGUCUUGAUAUUCCGCACGGUGACAAAAGAUUUUGUGGCUUCAAGAAGGAUGAGAAGUAGCUGGAGACUAAGAUUCACAACAAAUUCAUUUAUGAAGAUCAUGUUGCUGACUGCAUGAAGUUAAUAGUUGAUGAGGAGACUGAGAAGUGCCAAUUUCACUUUAGUGGGUACAUCAAGAAGGGGAUUGCGGCUAAUGACAUGGAAGCACUGUACAAGAAGGGUACGGCAGCAUAUAGAAGUGUCAAUUGGGCUUUAGUGUGCCAGCAUAUAUAAGUGCUGCAACCACCAUUGUUCCGGAUAUGAGGUAUAAUGCUAAUUGGGCUUGUGAAUUAAUCAUGUCUGGGAAUGGAUUGCCUCAUUGUUGGGGUUUCUCAGUAUGUAAUUUCUUUUACUCAUUUUAGAUUCUUAAUUCGGUGGUUCUUGAUUGCAACCUAGGGUCAUCCUGUUCCUACUCACAUGUUACAUUAGUGUUUUGUAUAAUAUAUCCAAGCUCUCACUCCUGAAAAUUGUCCAUCUGUUCUCUGAUGCACGCACGUCACUGGAGAGGGAGUCUGGCUUGCGAGUUUCGCCGAUUCGUUCACAACGGCGAUGCCAAACUAUGAGGAGAUACCAAAGGUGUACUGGGAGGCGGUGCUUCCUGGAACCCCAAUGCGUCCACCUAUUAUCAACCUGCUGUUAGCCCAGCAAAAUGGUAUCUCUCUCCUUCCCUCCCUCCCUCCCUUCCCACCUUGGUGACCUCAUUUAAGUUGUUUUGAUAAUUGGUGGUACAACUUUCCCUCUUUGAUACCUACAAAUUCUUUAUAACGACUCUUAGUUUGCAGCCCAUUAUGGAACAUAAAUGAACAUAAUAGAUGUGAAUCUUUUGUUCUGAUGAAUGAUAAAUGUUUAACUUGAAGCACAAACUAUUGCAUAUACAAUAUGAUAUGUGUACCAUAAAGGAUAAAUUAACCUUUUCUCUACCGGUGAACUGAGAUCUUACAGUGGCUAAUUUGAUAAGAAGCAUAGUCCUUGUAUCAUUCGGAAAAUGACCCUUCUGUAUUUCAUUUUCAGGGAUAGUCCUGUUGUGCUUUGUUUUUAUAUGAUCUAAAACUACAGAGUUCUUCUGCAGUAUAGAUGUUCUGUUUAGUACGAAUUUUACUAUAUCUGAGCUUUUGAAAUUAGUAUAAGUCUAACAGCCUUGCAACCAAACCAAAACUAAAUCUGCAGGGAUCUUGUGAUAGCCUUGCAACCAAAACUAGAACUACAGGCAUCUUGUGUAGUUAAAAUGUAGCUGUCGUUUGUUGGAAUAUCAAUUAUCUUGUUUAUGCACGAUUAACCUGCUUAUCAUGAAAGUAGAAUAUUUUAGGACAGACCAUCAAGUUGGUUGGCAUUUGUUUAGAUCUUUAUGUUGGAAAUAU